rnacentral:rRNA from 1 species
UGGGGAAUUUUGGACAAUGGGCGAAAGCCUGAUCCAGCAAUGCCGCGUGUGUGAAGAAGGCCUUCGGGUUGUAAAGCACUUUUGUCCGGAAAGAAAUCCUUGGCUCUAAUACAGUCGGGGGAUGACGGUACCGGAAGAAUAAGCACCGGCUAACUACGUGCCAGCAGCCGCGGUAAUACGUAGGGUGCAAGCGUUAAUCGGAAUUACUGGGCGUAAAGCGUGCGCAGGCGGUUUGCUAAGACCGAUGUGAAAUCCCCGGGCUCAACCUGGGAACUGCAUUGGUGACUGGCAGGCUAGAGUAUGGCAGAGGGGGGUAGAAUUCCACGUGUAGCAGUGAAAUGCGUAGAGAUGUGGAGGAAUACCGAUGGCGAAGGCAGCCCCCUGGGCCAAUACUGACGCUCAUGCACGAAAGCGUGGGGAGCAAACAGGAUUAGAUACCCUGGUAGUCCACGCCCUAAACGAUGUCAACUAGUUGUUGGGGAUUCAUUUCCUUAGUAACGUAGCUAGCGCGUGAAGUUGACCGCCUGGGGAGUACGGUCGCAAGAUUAAAACUCAAAUGAAUUGACGGGGUCAUAGCUGUUUCC